rnacentral:rRNA from 1 species
UAUUUAGAGGUUUGGAACCUGGCUCAGGAUGAACGCUGGCGGUCUGCUUAACACAUGCAAGUCGAACGGAAUCCUUCGGGAUUUAGUGGCGGACGGGUGAGUAACACGUAAGAACCUGCCUCUAGGACGGGGACAACAGUUGGAAACGACUGCUAAACCCGGAUGAGCCGAAAGGUAAAAGAUUAAUCGCCUAGAGAGGGGCUUGCGUCUGAUUAGCUAGUUGGUGAGGUAAGAGCCCACCAAGGCGACGAUCAGUAGCUGGUCUGAGAGGAUGAUCAGCCACACUGGGACUGAGACACGGCCCAGACUCCUACGGGAGGCAGCAGUGGGGAAUUUUCCGCAAUGGGCGAAAGCCUGACGGAGCAAGACCGCGUGGGGGAGGAAGGUUCUUGGAUUGUCAACCCCUUUUCUCAGGGAAGAACACAAUGACGGUACCUGAGGAAAAAGCAUCGGCUAACUCCGUGCCAGCAGCCGCGGUAAUACGGGGGAUGCAAGCGUUAUCCGGAAUGAUUGGGCGUAAAGAGUCCGUAGGUAGUCAUCCAAGUCUGCUGUUAAAGAGCGAGGCUUAACCUCGUAAAGGCAGUGGAAACUGGAAGACUAGAGUGUAGUAGGGGCAGAGGGAAUUCCUGGUGUAGCGGUGAAAUGCGUAGAGAUCAGGAAGAACACCGGUGGCGAAGGCGCUCUGCUGGGCUAUAACUGACACUGAGGGACGAAAGCUAGGGGAGCGAAUGGGAUUAGAUACCCCAGUAGUCCUAGCGGUAAACGAUGGAAACUAGGUGUGGCCUGUAUCGACCCGAGCCGGGCCGAAAGCAAAAAUA